rnacentral:tRNA from 1 species
GGCUUUAUAGUCAACAAUGAUAUUAGACUGCAAUUCUAAAGGAGUAGAAAAUACUAAGGCUU